GGGGGAAGCUGUUAUAUGUGCUGCUGGUAUAAUCGGCAAGAAAACUUUGCUUGCUGGAAAAGGCAAAGGGGUUGCACAUGUUUAAUAUGAAGAUUCUGCCACCUUCAAACACUUCAACUGUGCUCUGAGAGAAGCAGCUGCAAAACCAUUGCCUGCUGUGGAAAGAUAGGGAGGCAGAAGACACCAGAAGGCCAUGACAGCUGGAUCUCAGACAGACAUUCUGAGUCACGAGGAGGACAUCAGGUUCUGAGGACGGUGGAGCAGGAAGAGAGAAGUCAGAGACCCCAGUGACCUUGUGAACUAUUCUAGCAACUGUGAACUGCCAACUCUGGACUUUUUUUACAUGAACAAGCAAUAAACUUCUUUCUUGCUUAA